GUGGCUCCUGCAUGUGCGCCAGCUCCUGCAAGUACAAAGGGUGCAAAUGCACCUCCUGCAAGACGAGUGAGUGUGGGGCCAUCUCCAGGAAUCUGGGGCUGUGGCUAAGGUUGAGAGGGAACCCUGGGCUGGCCCUGAGUACAUUCUUCUGGGGAACUGGGCUUUCUUUGCCCCUGUUGGCUGUGUCAUUUUCUCUCAGAGGGCUUUGUGCCCUCUGGGUCUGGGGUCUGAGCUGGAGCCAAGCUUGCUAUUAGGGAGGUGCCUGAUCAAGUCAGCUCACCUCUCAUUCUUCCCUUUCAUCUCAGGCUGCUGUUCCUGUUGUCCCAUGGGCUGUGCCAAGUGUGCCCAGGGCUGCAUCUGCAAAGGGGCGUCUGAGAAGUGCAGCUGCUGUGCCUGAUAUGGGGACAGCUCUGCUUCCAGAUGUAAAUAGACCAACCUGCACAAACCUGGAUUUAAAAAAAAAAUAACCCUAAGCCGUUUGCUGCAUUUCUUUUUCUCUUAAAUAUAUUCAACGAGAAAAAAAUUCAGUGAAUACAUGAAGAAACAACAGGAAAAACGAAAGAUGUACAAACUUUGACGAUAUGAUGAUGUGGAAGGCAACCUCAGGGAAACUGGGAAAGGCAGCCAGGACCUCGGGGACCUGGCGUACCUCCAGGCGCACAGCCCUUUCUGUGAGAGCGAGCAGGCGCCAAAGGCACGGUCCCACGGUGUGCACCAAGCAGAGCUCAGGGAGUGGUGUGCCUGGCCCUCUGCCGCGCACAGCCCAGCCCGGCCCAGCCCAGGACCUCUUUUCUUGAAGAGUGGAGGAUGGAAGGGAGGAAGGCAGGGCCCUGUGUCUGGCCUGCUGCUGUGAAGAGAAGAAACGAGGCCGAAGGACCUGGAUGACUAUGAAGGAACUCCAGCCUCAUCUGACCUCCAAAUGGACCCCAACUGCCCCUGCGCAGUUUCGGGGCUUAGCGUCUUCAUUUUCGUACUACAGAAUAGAAGGUCCCUGGGGCAGGAGGCAGGUGCAUUUUGAGCUCUACCUAAAAUGGACUCCUUUGCUUUGCACUUCUCGAGCUUUCUCCCUGCCAAGCACCUUCAUCACUACUCAGAAGACCGCCAUCUUCUCACUGCCUCCCAUUUCUGAGGUGGCUCCUGCACCUGUGGCAGCUCCUGCAAAUGCAGAGGGCACAUGCACCUCCUGUAAGAAGGGCUGCUGCUCCUGCUGCCCUAUGGGCCGUGCCAACUGUGUCCAGGGCUGCAUCUGCAAAGAGACAUCAGACAAGGGCAGCUGCUGUGCCUCAUGUCAGGACAACCCUGCUCUCAGAUGUAGAAAGAGUGACCUAAACAAAUUUGGAAUUUUUUUCCAUACAACCAUGGCCUUACUAAAUUUGUCUCUCUUUUAUAAAAUAUGUGAAUGAUAAUAAAAGUUGUCGCCUUUAUUCUGGCUCUGGUUUUCUUUGUGUGCCUUGGAAAUAGUUUCCCAGGUUGGGUAGCACUAUCACUCACCACCUCCCUUGGCUCGGGGGUGGAAGCUCCCUGUCCUGUGUGGCUCUCAGCUGAGCCACUGCACUGACCCUGCUGACACCUUGGUCUUGAACUUCCAGCCUCCAGAACUGUGAGAACACAUUUCUGUUGUUUAUGCCCCCAGUCUGUG
ensembl:lncRNA